UGGCAAACGUGCAGUUUCCAACGCUUUUCAGGUCACGUGAGGUCUGGAAAUCCCGAGCGUGUGGAAAUAACAGAAAUUAGUGGGGAAGCCCAAUUUGUUAGAAUUGAGUUAGCAUCCGGUUGUGUCACUUAUAGGUCAAGUUUUAUCAAAAAAGAACUAAAACAAGUAUACUAUUUCAGUCCAAAACGCUGUUCUUUUUCACGACACGAUGCAUUGUUGCUUUUCUUUUCGGCUGGGACCAUCUGUUCACGACUGUUCUUAUAGCUAAACCUAAAGCCAAACAAAAGGUUUGACCCAUUCAAACUAACGUUAAUGCAAUCAGCUAUAACCACAGAAUUUAAAUCUCAAGAAUAACUUGCGAAUGUUCUUGUUUUCCGUAAAGGAUGGGCGAGUAUGCCCAUCACCAAGCAGUGUUCAAAAAGAGUUCGCAAAUGAUUGAUAUUCACAAUAUGCGUAAUUAAUCACAAAAAUCGUUGGAUAUUUCGAAACAAUUUUCAUCCAUAAAUGGAACCCACUACGAACGUUCAACUCUAUUUGCAUCAUCUUCAUAACCUACAGGCAAAGUUUUCUGCUUUUUCAAAUACCUGUUGUAUACCUACGGGCCAGGGGGUGGACAACUCAUCAAUUGUCUACCUUUCCUUCUCGAAACUUCCAGACGAAAACGUAUGGUCGGCAGCCCUUUUGCUCUAUGCCAACUUUGAUCUCAGCGCUGCUAUUCAGCGUUACAGACAGCCUUAUGACAUGUGUUGUUUUCAAAUGUCAUACCUUUUUCCCCAAGACAUUUUCAAUACGAUGAUUAAUUCGUUUUCGUUGCCAACCUCUUGGCUGGAACACAAGAGUCGAAAAGAGCGGACAGAUUCACAAAGAAGGCGGGUCAUAAUUGAAGGGACGUUCUAUGCUUCGAGGGUUGCUCCAGGAGUAGCUUCCAGCUAAGUUUAUUGUGUGACAAAAAUUACAGGUGAGGCAGACCGUUUUAUGUCACUACAUCGUACAGAAAAUCAUCUAGUAUGAAUCAUUCUUAUUCAUGAAACUGUUUUCAUUGCCCAUGGUUUACUGAAAUAUCAUAGAAUUGGAAUGAUAUUGUAGUGUUAACCAUGUAUUUUGGUAGAUCCAUCAGUUUUUUUAGGUCAAUCAUCAAAUUUGUGUUACAAACCUUUAACAGUGUUUCACUCCCAAUUCUUUCGUGAAACAAAUUAAAUAUUUGCAACCGUUACAGAUUCACGCAUUUUAAUAGAUUAUUCUUCCUUUAUACGAAUACAGAAAUAAUUACCGUACAGCAUAACAGUAGAAAAACGUCCUCGCUUUACAUUGGGACAUAAUAAAAAACAGUUUACGAAUAUCUAGUGAAUUAAUAACGGAUUAUAUAAAUAGCGUUUUAUAGUGCAUAAGAAAACA